GCCAUGGUUACUGCCGGAUAGAAAACCCUAAAGAAAUGUUGGAAUGCUUUUUCUCGAUGCCAUCUCUGAUGCCGUCUUCAUCUGGGUUCUCUAUGUUGGAAAAAGUUACUAUUCUCAAUUCCUGUCUCUUGAUUAUAGUGUU